UUACUGGACCUAGAAAACUCAAUUCCUAGGAAGAAUUUUAGCUCCCCAAGAUCCUUCAUCUUGAACCUUUUCUGAAUAUCUUGUCUGGUUCUGCACAACAGUUCAUGACUGCUUCCAGUGAUUAGAAGAUCAUCUACAUACACUAAUAUCACUACCACAGCAUCACCAGCUUGCUUUGUAAAGAGAGAAUAAUCAUAGUGACUUUGUUUAAA
rnacentral:lncRNA from 1 species